GCGAGAGUGGCGGAACUGGCAGACGCGCUGGACUUAGGAUCCAGUGGGCACAACCCGUGGGGGUUCAACUCCCCCCUCUCGCA
rnacentral:tRNA from 1 species